CCUACGGGAGGCUGCAGUGGGGAAUAUUGCACAAUGGGGGAAACCCUGAUGCAGCGACGCCGCGUGAGUGAAGAAGUAAUUCGUUAUGUAAAGCUCUAUCAGCAGGGAAGAAAAUGACGGUACCUGAGUAAGCAGCCCCGGCUAACUACGUGCCAGCAGCCGCGGUAAUACGUAGGGGGCAAGCGUUAUCCGGAUUUACUGGGGGUAAAGGGAGCGUAGGCGGCAGUGCAAGUCUGGAGUGAAAGGCGGGGGCUUAACCCCCGGACUGCACUGGAAACUGGACGGCUUGAGUGCAGGAGAGGUAAGUGGAAUGCAAGGUGUAGCGGUGAAAUGCGUAGAUAUUAGGAGGAACACCAGUGGCGAAGGCGGCUUACUGGACUGUAACUGACGUUGAGGCUCGAAAGCGUGGGGAGCAAACAGGAUUAGAUACCCCUGUAGUC
rnacentral:rRNA from 1 species